rfam:Myotis brandtii contig314324, whole genome shotgun sequence.
AGCGGUUCUCAGGUGAUGUACCCAGAACCAGAAAGGAGGGAGCCUGAUUCUGGGGUGCAUCACCUGAGAACUGCC